rnacentral:rRNA from 1 species
AGUGAACGCUGGCGGUAGGCCUAACACAUGCAAGUCGAACGGCAGCACAGUAAGAGCUUGCUCUUACGGGUGGCGAGUGGCGGACGGGUGAGGAAUACAUCGGAAUCUACUUUUUCGUGGGGGAUAACGUAGGGAAACUUACGCUAAUACCGCAUACGACCUACGGGUGAAAGCAGGGGAUCUUCGGACCUUGCGCGAUUGAAUGAGCCGAUGUCGGAUUAGCUAGUUGGCGGGGUAAAGGCCCACCAAGGCGACGAUCCGUAGCUGGUCUGAGAGGAUGAACCACCACACUGGAACUAAGACACAGUCCAGACUCCUACGGGAGGCAGCAGUGGGGAAUAUUGGACAAUGGGCGCAAGCCUGAUCCAGCCAUACCGCGUGGGUGAAGAAGGCCUUCGGGUUGUAAAGCCCUUUUGUUGGGAAAGAAAAGCAGCAGGUUAAUACCCCGCUGUUCUGACGGUACCCAAAGAAUAAGCACCGGCUAACUUCGUG